rnacentral:pre_miRNA from 1 species
AAAUGUAUAUAAAUGUAUAUAUAUAUAUAUAUAUGUGUGUGUGUGUGUGUGUGUGUGUAAUUACACACA